AAAUCAUUCUCAAUUUCAUAAAUUACUAAUUAUUCUCCAAUUCAGAAAUUACCAAAAUAUGCACAAAUUCAAAAAUUAUAAAAUCGCCUUCAAAUUUAACAAAAUUACCAAAAUACCCUCAAAUUCUAACAUUAUUAGAAUACCCCCAAAAUCAUAAUUUACCAAGUUAACCUCAAAAUAGUAAAUUACCAGCCUAUUCUCAAUUUAUACAAUUACUAAAAUACCCGCAAAGUGUGAAAUUACAAAAUUGCCCUCGAAUACGAAAUUACCGAAAUGGCCUUGCUGGUCAACGGUGACCCAAAGUCAACCAAAGGCGGUCGGGAAGCUCUAGCCUGAGAGUUCCAACCACGCUGAGUCCGAUGGUAUAUUAUGCCAUUUCAAAUUUUAUUUUUUCAAUCUUAUAUUUAAUAGAAUGUUAAUACCAAAUAAGCAAUAAUCUUAACUGAUUAAACUAAAUAAAUGGAUAGAUUUUAAACUCACCAAACUACUCAUUAAACCUAUUUACUAAAUUAACCCACUCUCAAAUUUUAAAAUUUUAAAUUUUACUUGAUAAACCCACUUAAUUACUCAAUAUACCCUUACUAAACUCAAUCUUUAUAAUAAUAGUGUUUUUCUCAUUAAACCCGUUAAAUUCAAUUAUAAAUCCUUAAUAAAUGUUUCAUUGAUUUUUUUUUUAAAGAAAGUUUUUGCCUUUCGCAUUUAUCAGAAGAUGAUGAUAAUAAGUUAUAGAACCCAAACUCCAAGCUACCAGAUAGAAUAGUUCUCAAUUAAGGGUCUAUUUGAGAUAGUGAUUAGACAGUUAUAGCUGAAAAACUAUGGCAUUAAAGUAUUUGGUAAACACUGGCUGCUGUAGUUUAGAAGCUAAUAUGAUAUGAUUUUUCACAUAUAUUAUGUAAAAUCUAUUAUAUCUUUAAUAAUUUUGUUAAAAUUAUUAUUUAAAAUUUAUAUUUAUUACAUAUUAUUAACUUUAAAAGUUACAACACCUCAAUUUCAAACAUGACCUAAGUUAAUUAGAAUGGCAAAAGAAUAUUUCCAACCUAAGGCCGAGACUUGUUUAUGAUUGAGCAAAAUACUCGCAAUCGUAUUCCAUGGCAAUAAACAUUCUAAGGCUUGUAUGAUACAUCAUAAUCUUAAAUUCAUUAAUUUCUAAAUAAGACCAAACCUCAAAAGCGAUGCCCAUUGUAUACAUCGAAUGCUGAUGUUAACACGUUGCCACCCAAAAAUGGUGACUCAACUUCAAUUUCAUUCAAAGUUGAGACAUUCUCAGUUUCGGACAAGGUGGCACCGAAAGAACUCAAAUUCUCAUUACAUUACAGAAAUUUUGACAGAAUAUGAUCAGGGUUUAAUGAAAAUAUAAUUAGAGUUUGAUAAAAUACGUUAAAUGUAAAGGUGGGUUUAAAAAGUAAAAAUUCUGUUUUUUUUAACUAUAUUUUAAUUUUCAUAAUUGUAAUUUAAUUUAAAAAUAUUUUAAUCAUAAAAAUUAAUCUCAAAAAUAGAUUUAUUGAGCCGUUUGUUGAGUUCAAAUAGCCCCACCUUCAUCGAAAUGCCCUCAAACUCAUAAAUCACAUAAAUAAUCUAAAAAUUCCAAAAUUAUAAACUACCAAAUCAUUCUCAAUUUCAUAAAUUACUAAUUAUUCUCCAAUUCAGAAAUUACCAAAAUAUGCACAAAUUCAAAAAUUAUAAAAUCGCCUUCAAAUUUAACAAAAUUACCAAAAUACCCUCAAAUUCUAACAUUAUUAGAAUACCCCCAAAAUCAUAAUUUACCAAGUUAAUCUCAAAAUCGUAAAUUACCAGCCUAUUCUCAAUUUAUACAAUUACUAAAAUACCCGCAAAGUAUGAAAUUAUAAAAUUGCCCUCGGAUACGAAAUUACCGAAAUGGCCUUGCUGGUCAACGGUGACCGAAAGCCAACCAAAUGCGGUCGGGAAGCUCUAGCCUGAGAAUUCCAACCACGCUGAGUCCGAUGGUGGCGGCGGUGACGAUCGACGCGCGGCGACGGUGGCUGAUCGAGCUCCCAAAGCCAUGAACUUUCCAACGGCUGACCGGCCGGGACAGGGCAGUUCCCGGUUCAGUGGAUGGUCGAAAAGGACAGAGGGGAUUGUGGGGAACAAAAUCCAACUGGUGGCCUCACCCAAAACUGGCAAAAUAGCGGUGAAACAAUGCGGCUUCAAUAAGCGGCUUUCCGGCCAAUAAUCGACGGCAAUGACGGAAUGGAAAUGACGGUCAGUUCUCAAGCUUUCUACUGGCACCUUCCUUGGUCGGUAAGGUGGCCGGAAAAUGGAGAUAAAUUCGGGUCGGAUCGCGCAGGUUCGGGUCGGAUCGCUCCCAUCUCUUUCCCUCUUUCUUUCUCUCUCUUCAUUUCUCUCUCUCUUAAUUCAUAGGGGUGUGGGGUAAUACAUAUGAAAAAAAAAUUAUGGUUUGGUUUAUUUUUAAAAAAAAAAGUAUGUCAACAAUUAUGACAUGGUCAUUGGGUGCAAUACGAAAUACAUUAUUUUAACUAAAGUACAAUGGUAGAGGAUACAAUUAAUAUUGUAUUAAAAUAUAAAAUUAAUUCUCUAAAUUUAAAUUUAAAAGUAUCUGGGCUGAUUUUGAUAAAAAAUAAUUUUAAUUUUUUAUUAAAUAUUAAAAUUAAUUUUUAAAUUUUUAAAAUUAUUUGUAAACCUGAUAAAAUAAUUUAAAAUGAACCUUAGAACUCAAAUUAAAAUUUGAAUAUUAAGAUUCUUAUUAUUACUCAAUGAUAUAAUAACAAUUAACAAUAUUUUCGUAAUUUCAUGAUUUAUUUCCUUUACAAUCGCAUUAAGUUCAGAAAGUUUCCUUCGAGGAAUAUAACCGAAUUGAAGAGGAAGGAAGACGCGUGAAAGCCAUUUAACCAAAAAUUCAUGAUUAGCCCAAUUUUUCAAAAGCUCCCUCAACAAAUGAUACUCAUCGUGCUUCUCUCUCAAGUAUGGCAAUGCCUUUCAUGGCAUAUAAUCUUGAAGUACUUGCUUUUACUUGUCAUACAGUUGUUUAGGAUCUUCAUCAAGAGGACGAGCCGACUGAGAACAAAUAUUGUAUACGGUUGUGUAAAAGAUAAAAGAUCAUUUAGUCUCUAUAUUUUAAGAUUAAUAUUUAUUUAAUCCUUAUAUUUUUUAAAAUCUUUGCCGUUAAAGUAUUGAUAUUCACACUGUUACUUUUUAUUUCUUUUGUCUUACUUUAACAAUAUUGUCCUUUUAUAAUAAUUUUUUUGCUUGGACAUUAAUAAAAAGAAAAUAAUUAAAUUACUAAUUUAGCCCUAAAAAUAAAAAUAAAAAAUUUAUAUUAAUUUUUAAUUUUUAAAAAUUAAAUUGUCAAAAAUUGUAUGCAAACUACCAAGUAUGCAAAUGGAGCUUGCAAAAAAAUUAUAAUAAACUAAUGGCAAAUUAACGGAACAAUACUUUACACUAUUAUUUAAAAUAUAGGGAUGAAAUAUGUAUCAUAUUAAAUCCUAAGGGUGAAAAGGACAUUUUCUGUUCUGUUGCUUUGCUUGACGGAAUUCAAACAAUUAGGAUUACGAAGCACAAAUUCAUCAACUUAAGGGAUUUUCUUUAUCAACGAAACGAGGUAAGUGCAGGAGGACAAAAGUUGUUUGCUUGAUAGGCCUUGAUUGUUGGCCCAAAAGUUUUAGCUGGUAAAUAACUUCCAAGCCCAUAUUCUUGUGAUCUGGGAAGUGAAUUCUCUAUUCUUAGACAAGAACUUUAUAUGCAGAAAGAAAAAUAAGAAAAAUGGUUGGUUGGUGGGGUGAGAGAUUUUGUUAUACACAUUGGCUUACCAAAUUGGAUUCAUGAAAUACAUUCAAAAUUUAUUGAAAAGUAAAAUUAACGAAUGGUGAAGAGAAAUCUCAAAAUAAUUGGGGAUAGCGAGAGAAAGGAUUGAAGAAGUCGCUAAAAAAAAAAAAUUAGAAAGGAAAAGAAGAACAAAUAAUGAUAAUUUUUCAUGUUCUUUCGUAUGAACCGCAAUGCAACGAAUAAUUGUCAAGAAGACAAUUUCUACCCAUUACUAUUUUGUUCAUAAUUAGUUCUUAGGUCUAUCUUUAUCUAUAGGGUUGUCUAAAAUUUUUAAUUAAUGUAUAAAACAUAUUCAUCGGUACGCGUACUCAUCACGAUAUCUAUGGCAGCAAUGCCAAUUAAUUAGUGCUUCAGGAAAAAAAAAUCCAAUGGAAUAGAAAUUAUAAAAUUAAUAGACUUGAAAUUGACUAGGAACUUUAGGGUUUCGUAGUGUGCAUCACAACCUAAGAACCUACUCCAAUGUUUCUCCAAUGCCUAAUUCAUUCCUCGAUUUCUCGCUGUCACAGCAGAUAAUCGAAUGAUCAUCCACCUUAUCUCCUCUAGGCAAUUGUCUGCAUCCAAAUUCUCCAUCUUCAAGAAGCUGACUUGCACGCACCACCAACAACUCAUGUUCUAGUAUGUCCGUCAAUUUCCGCUCGCUGCUUGGUUGCAGGUAAUGAGACGCUCUCCCUCUUUCUUUCUUCAAGCAUUCACCAACCUUGAGCAUGUAAUCUUCACUCGAAUCCUGAAGAAUCCAAUUUGAUGCCUUGCGAGAAUAAUAAGCCCCCGUAUCCUGAAGCAUAUGUUCUUCAAAAUCCUUUUCGUAACAAUGCAUCUUCCCCUUGUCAAUCUCAACGAAUAAAUUCAAUACAUUCUUCACCAACGUUCUGUCAAUCUCUUCUCCCUCGCGUUCUCUAUCGAUUAAAGCAAUUACAGCAUCCUUGACUUUGUCCUUUAUAGCUUCAAACACCAGAUCCCGGAAGCAAGAAAGUCCAAACGCAUUAAGUUUAGGAAGUUUCUUUCGAGUAAUAUAAGCGCCUUCACCUUGAAGAGGAAGGAAGACGAGUGAAAGCCAUUUAACCAAAAAUUUAUGAUUAGCCCAGCUUUUCAAAAGCUCCCUCAACAAAUCAUACUCAUCGUGCUUCUCUCUCAAAGAUGGCAAUACCUUUGAUGGCAUAUAAUCUUCAAGUACUUGCUUGUAAUUGUUAUACAAUUGUUUGCUAUUUUUGUCAAGAGGAUAAGUCCGCUGGGAGUUAAUAUUGUAUACGGUUGUGUAAAGCAUCAUGUAAUCCUCCAAAUUAAACGCUGGCUCCGGCAAUCCUUCGAAAAUCCUCUUCAAUUUUGUGAUUCCCCGCUCCAAAUAGUCCCAUCCUUCUUCGGAGUCACAUGCCUUGCGCUUCAUUGCUAAUCAAGUUUUUCGAUCGACGAUUCAAGAAAAAACUGAAAACCAAGAACUCGAUUCCUUCCAAUUUAUUAACUCUAUUGCGAAGUUGGGAUUUGAGAGCUUAAUGUAAGCGUCUUUAUAUAAGGAUGUAUAUCCUAACUAGUUAAGGAAAAGGAAAGCCUAAUUAGUCAAGGAAAAGACUUAUUAAGUUUCACUAAAUUUAUAUAUCUUCUCAAAUUAGGAAAAAGAUUUGUAAAUUUUCAACUUCAAUUUUUUUUUUCUUAACUUUGUAAGAGAUUUUGAAACAUGGUAUUUAAGAAAUUCUAAGGUGAGUAUUUAAUUUUUUUAUAAUUUUAUAUUAAUAAGACGUUUUUAAAUUUUUGUUAAUAAAUUUAAUCUUACCUAUCACCAUAAUCUCUCUUAUAUAUAUAUAGUACAUAAAAACUUAUUCUCACUUGAUGUAUGAGUUUCUACCCCUGUCCUCCUAUCUAUAUUUUAUUUAGAUGUCAAAAACAUAACGUUUUUAAAACUAACUGAAAUUACUAACUGAAGAAAAAAGUUAACUUCAUGUUAGUCACUUUUCAAUCUCUCAUGAAAAACUUCACUUCUUCUUCAUGCACAUGUCAAUUAAAUGUUAGUAAUAAAUUAUAGCAGAGAAAAUUAUCGACAUGACAAUAUUUCAAGGAAAGAAAAAAUCUAGUCACUUAAAUUAUUAUUCUUAUUCUUCUUUUUUUUUUUUUUUACUUGUAUUCAUUCUCCCUUUGCCAUUUCUUUUUUUGAUCUCGAUUGGCUAUCAAAGAAACCCAUCUAACCAUUUUGUUUUCAAGACUUUGUGUCGUUAGUCUAGUUUUCCAAUUAUCAAAAUUUAGCUAUAAAAUGAGAGGAGAAAAAGAAUUUAAUUUUGAUUUGAUUCGAAUUUUUGCUUAAGACAGCAAGCCUGGGCUAGACCCCGGAAACUUUUGGAUAUACCCCUUGCAUUUUUAUAAUUUUAUUAAAUAAUAAAAUUUAUUUUAUUUUCAAAUAUGUCCUCAAUUCAACUUUUUUUUUCUUUUUUUAAUACUUCAAAGUAGGAUUAGAUACUUAUUUUAUAAGAUGAUUCAAUUGUAUAUUUAUUGGAUAAAUUGAAAUCAUUAGGAUGCUAAAAUAUUAGUACGGAUAAAUAUUUAAUAUACACUUACUAAACUCAAUUUUUAUAAUAAUAAUAUUUUUACUCGCUAAAUCCAUUAAAUUCAUUUAUAAAUCUUCAAUGAAAUCAGUUAUUUUUUUUAACACCGAUGGAGAUGGUAAUUAAAUCAAAAUGAAUUUGUUAGCGUAGGUGCUACUUGAGCUUGUGAUGAUAAUCAGAUAAUUGAGAAUCAGCCAUGCCUAUUGUUAGCGGAGAGGCUGAGCUACCAUUGGUGAAUGGUGAUGCGGCUUAGCUUAAUUCGGCUCCACUAAAUGGCCAAAUUGAAAAGAAAAGAAAUUUAACCCGUUGUUUAAAAUCAAAUUUGCUUUUGAUUAAUGAUAAUUAAAGUUUUCAGAAAAUUUAAGGAUUAAUAUUAUAAUCAGAGCACAUGACUCAAUGAUCGAUGAUGAGCUCCAUUUGAAUGCGCAUCAAACCGUAGGAAGAUAAUUGAAAGUAAAAGAUUGCCCUCGUAAUUCAUGCCUCUAGUUAAUUAGGAUUUAAUGAAAAUAAGAUUAUGAUUUAACAAAAUUAUGUUGAUGUAUAGAUGGGCUGAAAAAAUUAAAAUUCUGUUUUUUUAUAUUAUAUUUUAAUAUCCAUAAUUGUAAUUUAAUUUAAAAAUAUUUUAAUUAUAAAAAAUUAAUCUCAAAAAUAAAUUUAGUGAGCCGUUUGUUGAGUUCAAAUAACACAACCUUCAUCGAAAUGCCCACAAACUCAUAAAUCACAUAAAUAAUCUAAAAAUUCCAAAAUUAUAAACUACCAAAUCAUUCUCAAUUUCAUAAAUUACGAAUUAUUCUCCAAUUCAGAAACUACCAAAAUAUGCACAAAUCCAAAAAUUAUAAAAUCGCCUCAAAUUUAACAAAAUUACCAAAAUACCCUCAAAUUCUAACAUUAUUAGAAUACCCCCAAAAUCAUAAUUUACCAAGUUAAUCUCAAAAUCGUAAAUUACCAGCCUAUUCUCAAUUUAUACAAUUACUAAAAUACCCGCAAAGUAUGAAAUUAUAAAAUUGCCCUCGGAUACGAAAUUACCGAAAUGGCCUUGCUGGUCAAAGGUGACCGAAAGCCAACCAAAUGCGGUCGGGAAGCUCUAGCCUGAGAAUUCCAACCACGCUGAGUCCGAUGGUGGCGGCGGUGACGAUCGACGCGCGGCGACGGUGGCUGAUCGAGCUCCCAAAGCCAUGAACUUUCCAACGGCUGACCGGCCGGGACAGGGCAGUUCCCGGCUCAGUGGAUGGUCGGAAAGGACAGAGGGGAUUGUGGGGAACAAAAUCCAACUGGUCGCCUCACCCAAAACUGGCGGAACAGCGGCGAAACAAUGCGGCUUCACCGCAAAAUUUUGCGGCUUCAAUAAACGGCUUUCCGGCCAAUAAUCGACGGCGAUGACGUAAUGGAAAUGACGGCCAGUUCUCAAGCUUUCUAUUGGUACCUUCCUUGGUCGGUAAGGUGGCUGGAAAAUGGAGAUAAAUUCGGGUCCGAUCGCGAAGGUUCGGGUCGGAUCGCUCCCAUCUCUUUCCCUCUUUCUUUCUCUCUCUUCGUUUCUCUCUCUCUUAAUUCAUAGGGGCGUGGGGUAAUACACAGAAAAAAAAAAAAAAUGGUUUGGUCUAUUUAAAAAAAAAAGAGUAUGUCAACAAUAAUGACAUUGUCAUUGGGUGCAAUACGAAACACAUUAUUUUAACUAAAGUAUAAGAGUAAUGAUACAGCCAUAAAUUCUUGUAUAAAUUUAUUUUGUACAAACUGACGUGUCAUUAAUUCAUUGGUUGAAUGAAAAUAUAAAAUAAUAAAAACAAAUCAUGUGGGCCAAGUGAUUUUUAAUUCAACCAAUCUUAUCAUGCCACAUCAGUUUAUACAAAAUAAAUUUGUACAAGAAUUUGUGGUUGUAUCAUUACUCAAAGUAUAAUGGUAGAGGAUAAAAUUAAAAUUGUAUUAAAAUAUAAAAUUAAUUCUCUAAAUUUAAAUUUAAAAUCAUAUGGACUGAUUUUGAUAAAAAAUAAUUUUAAUUUUUUUAUGAAAUAUUAAAAUUAAUUUUUAAAUUUUAAAAUCACUUUUAAACCUCCUAAAGUAAUUUAAAAUGAACUUUAGAACGCAAAUUAAAACUUUAAUAUUAAGAUUCUUAUUAUUACUCAAUGAUAUAAUAACAAUUAACAAUAUUUUCAUAAUUUCAUCAUUUAUUUCCUUUAAAAUCGCAUUAAGUUUAGGAAGUUUCCUUCGAGGAAUAUAACCUACCUGAAGAGGAAGGAAGACGCGUGAAAGCCAUUUAACCAAAAUUUCAUUAUUAGCCCAGCUUUUCAAAAGCUCCCUCAACAAAUGAUACUCAUCGUGCUUCUCUCUCAAAGAUGGCAAUGCCUUUCAUGGCAUAUAAUCUUCAAGUACUUGCUUUUACUUGUCAUAUAGCUGUUUGGGAUCUUCAUCAAGAAGACGAUCCGGCUGGGAACAAAUAUUGUAUACGGUUGUGUAAAGGAUAAAAGAUCAUUUAGUCUCUAUAUUUUAAGAUUAAUAUUUAUUUAGUCCUUGUAUUUUUUUAAAUCUCUGCCGUUAAAGUAUUGAUAUUCAUAUUGUUACUUUUUAUUUCUUUUGUCUUACUUUAACAAUAUUGCCCUUUUAUAAUUAUUUUUUUACUUGGACAUUAAUAAAAAGAAAAUAAUUAAAUUACUAAUUUAGCCCUAAAUAUAAAAAAAUUAUAUUAAUUUUUAAUUUUAAAAAAUUAAAUUGUCAAAAAUUGUAUGCAAACUACCAAGUAUGCUAAUGGAGCUUGCAAAAAAAAUAUAAUAAACUAAUGGCAAAUUAAUGAAAGAAUACUUUACACUAUUAUUUAAAAUAUAGGGAUGAAAUAUGUAUUAUAUUAAAUCCUAAGGGUGAAAAGGACAUUUUGUGUUCUGUUGCAUUGCUUGACGGAAUUCAAACAAUUAGGAUUACGAAGCACAAAUUCAUCAACUUAAGGGAUUUUCUUUAUCAACGAAACGAGGUAAGUGCAGGAGGACAAAAGUUGUUUGCUUGAUAGGCCUUGAUUGUUGGCCCAAAAGUUUUAGCUGGAAAACAACUUCCAAGCCCAUAUACUUGUGAUCUGGAAGUGAAUUCUCUAUUCUUAGACAAGAACUUUAUAUGAAGAAAGAAAAAUAAGAAAAAUGGUUGGUUGGUGGGGUGAGAGAUUUUGUUAUACACAUUGGCUUACCAAAUUGGAUUCAUGAAAUACAUUCAAAAUUUAUUGAAAAGUAAAAUUAACGAAUGGUGAAGAGAAAUCUCAAAAUAAUUGGGGAUAGCGAGAGAAAGGAUUGAAGAAGUCGCUAAAAAAAAAAAAUUAGAAAGGAAAAGAAGAACAAAUAAUGAUAACUUAUUCAUAUUCUUUCGUAUGAACCACAAUGCAACGAAUAAUUAUUGAGAAGGCAAUUUAUACCCAUUACUAUUUUGUUCAUAAUUAGUUCUUAGGUCUAUCUUUAUCUAUAGGGUUGUCUAAAAUUUUUAAUUAAUGUAUAAAACAUAUUCAUCGGUACGCGUACUCAUCACGAUAUCUAUGGCAGCAAUGCCAAUUAAUUAGUGCUUCAAAAAAAAAAAAUCCAAUGGAAUAGAAAUUAUAAAAUUAAUAGACUUGAAAUUGACUAGGAACUUUAGGGUUUCUUGGUGUGCAUCACAAUCUAAGAACCUACUCCAAUGUUUCUCCAAUGCCUAAUUCAUUCCUCGAUUUCUCGCUGUCACAGCAGAUAAUCGAAUGAUCAUCCACCUUAUCUCCUCUAGGCAAUUGUCUGCAUCCAAAUUCUCCUUCUUCAAGAAGCUGACUUGCACGCACCACCAACAACUCAUGUUCUAGUAUGUCCGUCAAUUUCCGCUCGCUGCUUGGUUGCAGGUAAUGAGACGCUCUCCCUCUUUCUUUCUUCAAGCAUUCACCAACCUUGAGCAUGUAAUCUUCACUCGAAUCCUGAAGAAUCCAAUUUGAUGCCUUGCGAGAAUAAUAAGCCCCCGUAUCCUGAAGCAUAUGUUCUUCAAAAUCCUUUUCGUAACAAUGCAUCUUCCCCUCGUCAAUCUCAACGAAUAAAUUCAAUACAUUCUUCACCAACGUUCUGUCAAUCUCUUCUCCCUCGCGUUCUCUAUCGAUUAAAGCAAUUACAGCAUCCUUGACUUUGUCCUUUAUAACAUCAAACACCAGAUCCCGGAAGCAAGAAAGUCCAAACGCAUUAAGUUUAGGAAGUUUCUUUCGAGUAAUAUAAGCGAAUUCAACUUGAAGAGGAAGGAAGACGAGUGAAAGCCAUUUAACCAAAAAUUUAUGAUUAGCCCAGCUUUUCAAAAGCUCCUUCAACAAAUCAUACUCAUCGUGCUUCUCUCUCAAAGAUGGCAAUACCUUUGAUGGCAUAUAAUCUUCAAGUAUUUGCUUGUAAUUGUUAUACAACUGUUUGCUAUUUUUGUCAAGAGGAUAAGUCGACUCAGAAUAAAUAUUGUAUACGGUUGUGUAAAGCAUCAUGUAAUCCUCCAAAUUAAACGUUGGCUCCGGCAAUCCUUCGAAAAUCCUCUUCAAUUUUGUGAUUCCCCGAUCCAAAUAGUCCCAUCCUUCUUCGGAGUCAAUUGCCUUCUGCUUCAUAGCUAAUCAAGUUUUUUGAUCGACGAUUCAAGAAAAAACUGAAAACCAAGAACUCGAUACCUUCUAAUUUAUUAACUCUAUUGCGAAGUUGGGAUUUGGGAGCUCAAUGUAAGCAUCUUUAUAUAAGGAUGUAUAUCCUAACUAGUCAAGGAAAAUGAAAGCCUGACUAGUUAAGGAAAAGGAAGAAGGAAAAGACUUAUUAAGUUUCACUAAACUUAUAUAUCUUCUCAAAUUAGGAAAAUGAUUUGUAAAUUUUCAACUUCAAUUUUUUUUUCCUAAACUUUAUAAGAGAUUUUGAAACAUGGUAUUUAAGAAAUUCUAAGGUGAGUAUUUAAUUUUUUUUUAUAAUUUUAUAUUAAUAAGAUGUUUUUAAAUUUUUGUUAAUAAAUUUAAUCUUACCUAUCACCAUAAUCUCCUCUUAUAUAUAUAUAUAUAGUACAUAAAAACUUAUUCUCACUUGAUGUAAGAGUUUCUACCCCUGUCCUCCUAUCUAUAUUUUAUUUAGAUGUCAAAAACAUAACGUUUUUAAAACUAACUGAAAUUACUAACUGAAGAAAAAAGUUAACUUCAUGUUAGUCACUUUUCAAUCUCUCAUGAAAAAUUGCACUUCUUCUUCACGCAUAUGUCGAUUAAAUUUUAUUAAUAAAUUAUAGCAGAGAAAAUUAUCGACAUGACAAUAUUUCAAGGAAAGAAAAAAUCUAGUCACUUAAAUUAUUAUUCUUAUUCUUCUUUUUUUUUUUUUUUACUUGUAUUCAUUCUCCCUUUGCCAUUUCUUUUUUUGAUCUCGAUUGGCUAUCAAAGAAACCCAUCUAAAAAAUGAGAGGAGAAAAAGAAUUUAAUUUUGAUUUGAUUCGAAUUUUUGCUUAAGACAGCAAGCCUGGGCUAGACCCCGGAAACUUUUGGAUAUACCCCUUGCAUUUUUAUAAUUUUAUUAAAUAAUAAAAUUUAUUUUAUUUUAAAAUAUGUCCUCAAUUCAACUUUUUUUUUCUUUUUUUAAUACUUCAAAGUAGGAUUAGAUACUUAUUUUAUAAGAUGAUUCAAUUGUAUAUUUAUUGGAUAAAUUGAAAUCAUUAAGAUGCUAAAAUAUUAGUACGGAUAAAUACUUAAUAUACACUCACUAAACUCAAUUUUUAUAAUAAUAAUAUUUUAACUCGCUAAAUCCAUUAACUUCAUUUAUAAAUCUUCAUUGAAAUCAUUUAUUUUUUUUAACACCGAUGGAGAUGGUAAUUAAAUCAAAAUGAAUUUGUUAGCGUAGGUGCUACUUGAGCUUGUGAUGAUAAUCAGAUAAUUGAGAAUCAGCCAUGCCUAUUGUUAGCGGAGAGGCUGAGCUACCAUUGGUGAAUGGUGAUGCGGCUUAGCUUAAUUCGGCUCCACUAAAUGGCCAAAUUGAAAAGAAAAGAAAUUUAACCCGUUAAUUAAAAUACAAUUUGCUUUUGAUUAAUGAUAAUUAAAGUUUUCAGAAAAUUUAAGGAUUAAUAUUAUAAUCAGAGCACAUGACUCAAUGAUCGAUGAUGAGCUCCAUUUGAAUGCGCAUCAAACCGUAGGAAGAUAAUUGAAAGUAAAAGAUUGCCACUCGUAAUUCAUGCCUCUAGUUAAUUAGGAUUUAAUGAAAAUAAGAUUAUGAUUUAACAAAAUUAUGUUGAUGUAUAAAUGGGCUGAAAAAAUUAAAAUUCUGUUUUUUUAUUAUAUUUUAAUAUCCAUAAUUGUAAUUUAAUUUAAGAGUAUUUUAAUCAUAAAAGAUUAAUCUCAAAAAUAGAUUUAGUGAGCCGUUUGUUGAGUUCAAAUAACACAACCUUCAUCGAAAUGCCCUCAAACUCAUAAAUCACAUAAAUAAUCUAAAAAUUCCAAAAUUAUAAACUACCAAAUCAUUCUCAAUUUCAUAAAUUACUAAUUAUUCUCCAAUUCAGAAAUUACCAAAAUAUGCACAAAUUCAAAAAUUAUAAAAUCGCCUUCAAAUUUAACAAAAUUACCAAAAUACCCUCAAAUUCUAACAUUAUUAGAAUACCCCCAAAAUUAUAAUUUACCAAGUUAAUCUCAAAAUCGUAAAUUACCAGCCUAUUCUUGAUUUAUACAAUUACUAAAAUACCCGCAAAGUAUGAAACUAUAAAAUUGCCCUCGGAUACGAAAUUACCGAAAUGGCCUUACUGGUCAACGGUGACCGAAAGCCAACCAAAUGCGGUCGGGAAGCUCUAGCCUGAGAAUUCCAACCACGCUGAGUCCGAUGGUGGCGGCGGUGACGAUCGACGCGCGGCGACGGUGGCUGAUCGAGCUCCCAAAGCCAUGAACUUUCCAACGGCUGACCGGCCGGGACAGGGCAGUUCCCGGCUCAGUGGAUGGUCGGAAAGGACAGAGGGGAUUGUGGGGAACAAAAUCCAACUGGUCGCCUCACCCAAAACUAGCGGAACAGCGGCGAAACAAUGCGGCUUCACCGCCAAAUUUUGCGGCUUCAAUAAACGGCUUUCCGGCCAAUAAUCGACGGCAAUGACGGAAUGGAAAUGACGGCCAGUUCUCAAGCUUUCUAUUGGUACCUUCCUUGGUCGGUAAGGUGGCUGGAAAAUGGAGAUAAAUUCGGGUCCGAUCGCGAAGGUUCGGGUCGGAUCGCGAACAUCUCUUUCCCUCUUUAUUUCUCUCUCUCCGUUUCUCUCUCUCUUAAUUCAUAGGAGCGUGGGGUUAUACAUAUGAAAAAAAAAAAUUAUGGUUUGGUCUAUUUAUAAAAAAAAAAAGUAAGUCAACAAUUA
rnacentral:lncRNA from 1 species